rnacentral:rRNA from 1 species
GAUAAAUGCUGGCGGCGUGCCUAAUACAUGCAAGUCGAACGCUUCUUUCCUCCCGAGUGCUUGCACUCAAUUGGAAAGAGGAGUGGCGGACGGGUGAGUAACACGCGGGUAACCUACCCAUCAGAGGGGGAUAACACUUGGAAACAGGUGCUAAUACCGCAUAACAGUUUAUGCCGCAUGGCAUAAGAGUGAAAGGCGCUUUCGGGUGUCGCUGAUGGAUGGACCCGCGGUGCAUUAGCUAGUUGGUGAGGUAACGGCUCACCAAGGCCACGAUGCAUAGCCGACCUAGGAGGGUGAGCGGCCACACUGGGCCUGGGACACGGCCCAGACUCCUACGGGAGGCAGCAGUAGGGAAUCUUCGGCAAUGGACGGAAGUCUGACCGAGCAACGCCGCGUGAGUGAAGAAGGUUUUCGGAUCGUAAAACUCUGUUGUUAGAGAAGAACAAGGACGUUAGUAACUGAACGUCCCCUGACGGUAUCUAACCAGAAAGCCACGGCUAACUACGUGCCAGCAGCCGCGGUAA